rnacentral:rRNA from 1 species
GUGGGGAAUAUUGGACAAUGGGCGAAAGCCUGAUCCAGCCAUGCCGCGUGAGUGAUGAAGGCCUUAGGGUUGUAAAGCUCUUUCAGUAGGGAAGAUAAUGACGGUACCUACAGAAGAAGCCCCGGCUAACUUCGUGCCAGCAGCCGCGGUAAUACGAAGGGGGCUAGCGUUGUUCGGAUUUACUGGGCGUAAAGCGCACGUAGGCGGAUUGGUCAGUUAGAGGUGAAAUCCUGGAGCUCAACUCCAGAACUGCCUUUAAUACUGCCAGUCUAGAGUCCAGAAGAGGUGAGUGGAACUCCUAGUGUAGAGGUGGAAUUCGUAGAUAUUCGGAAGAACACCAGUGGCGAAGGCGACUCACUGGCCCGUUACUGACGCUGAGGCGCGAAAGCGUGGGGAGCAAACAGGAUUAGAAACCCCUGUAGUCC